GUAGGGCGGGACACGUGGUAUCCUGUCUGAAUAUGGGGGGACCAUCCUCCAAGGCUAAAUACUCCUGACUGACCGAUAGUGAACCAGUACCGUGAGGGAAAGGCGAAAAGAACCCCGGCGAGGGGAGUGAAAAAGAACCUGAAACCGUGUACGUACAAGCAGUGGGAGCACCUUCGUGGUGUGACUGCGUACCUUUUGUAUAAUGGGUCAGCGACUUAUAUUCUGUAGCAAGGUUAACCGUAUAGGGGAGCCGAAGGGAAACCGAGUCUUAACUGGGCGUUAAGUUGCAGGGUAUAGACCCGAAACCCGGUGAUCUAGCCAUGGGCAGGUUGAAGGUUGGGUAACACUAACUGGAGGACCGAACCGACUAAUGUUGAAAAAUUAGCGGAUGACUUGUGGCUGGGGGUGAAAGGCCAAUCAAACCGGGAGAUAGCUGGUUCUCCCCGAAAGCUAUUUAGGUAGCGCCUCGUGAACUCAUCUUCGGGGGUAGAGCACUGUUUCGGCUAGGGGGCCAUCCCGGCUUACCAACCCGAUGCAAACUACGAAUACCGAAGAAUGUUAUCACGGGAGACACACGGCGGGUGCUAACGUCCGUCGUGAAGAGGGAAACAACCCAGACCGCCAGCUAAGGUCCCAAAGUCAUGGUUAAGUGGGAAACGAUGUGGGAAGGCACAGACAGCCAGGAUGUUGGCUUAGAAGCAGCCAUCAUUUAAAGAAAGCGUAAUAGCUCACUGGUCGAGUCGGCCUGCGCGGAAGAUGUAACGGGGCUAAACCAUGCACCGAAGCUGCGGCAGCGACGCUUAUGCGUUGUUGGGUAGGGGAGCG
rnacentral:rRNA from 1 species